UAUUUGUCAGUCAUUACCGCAAGUGAUGCACAGAUACAUUACUACAUUUACACCGCUGUAAUCCGGAUGUAUCGUAUGCAGGAUUUUGCAACGACCUCCGACUGAAAAACUGCCCCAUUUAGCACACGUAAUUCUUGACUGUAUAGAAAGAUGUACAGAUGUUCAUUAGUAGAAUUUUUAUGAACUGAUGCCAAAUUAAUUAUUACUUUUGUUUUAUAUAUUAAGAUAUUCUUUUUGAUUUAUGCACUCGGUUCGUACUAUAGUAUUGCAGUUUCGUAACUAUUAUGUUGCUUGCAGCCAGUGAAUCUUAUGGCUCUUCACCUCCAUGGACUGCCUGUCUGUUCUGCUGUUCCCUUUGAAGCUGGUGAUGAUGGAGGAGCCUAUGAGAAGGACGAUUAAUUACCUGGAGGACUUGAGUCUGAGAAGCUUUGGGUGCGAUUCAAAGGCCAACGGGAAGGUUCCGUCACUCUUGCCUGAGUGCCUUGAAUGAUGGGAG